rnacentral:rRNA from 1 species
UACGUAGGGUGCGAGCGUUAAUCGGAAUUACUGGGCGUAAAGUGUGCGCAGGCGGCAAAGCAAGUCGAGUGUGAAAGCCCCGGGCUUAACUUGGGAAUUGCGCUCGAAACUACUUUGCUGGAGUGUGGCAGAGGAAGGUGGAAUUCCACGUGUAGCGGUGAAAUGCGUAGAGAGUGUGGAGGAACACCAAUGGCGAAAGGCG